rnacentral:miRNA from 1 species
UUUUUUUUUUGAGGUUCGAGGCUAUCAAGCCCAAAUGAAUACCUUUCAACUAGAAUCCAAAGUUGAGGUAAUCUUUGGUUUUGACAGACGAUUCGAGCUGAUCAUGACCUUCAAAAAGAG